UUUAUGGAGAGUUUGAUCCUGGCUCAGGAUGAACGCUGGCGGCGUGCCUAAUACAUGCAAGUCGAGCGAACAGACAAGGAGCUUGCUCCUUUGACGUUAGCGGCGGACGGGUGAGUAACACGUGGGUAACCUACCUAUAAGACUGGGAUAACUUCGGGAAACCGGAGCUAAUACCGGAUAAUAUUUCGAACCGCAUGGUUCGAUAGUGAAAGAUGGUUUUGCUAUCACUUAUAGAUGGACCCGCGCCGUAUUAGCUAGUUGGUAAGGUAACGGCUUACCAAGGCGACGAUACGUAGCCGACCUGAGAGGGUGAUCGGCCACACUGGAACUGAGACACGGUCCAGACUCCUACGGGAGGCAGCAGUAGGGAAUCUUCCGCAAUGGGCGAAAGCCUGACGGAGCAACGCCGCGUGAGUGAUGAAGGUCUUCGGAUCGUAAAACUCUGUUAUUAGGGAAGAACAUACGUGUAAGUAACUAUGCACGUCUUGACGGUAC
rnacentral:rRNA from 1 species